AGUUUGAUUCUGCCUGUGAUUGAACGCUGGCGGGAUGCUUUACACAUGCAAGUCAGGUCCGCAGCACGGACUUCGGUCUGGUGGCGAGUGGCGAACGGGUGAGUAAUGUAUCGGAACGUGCCUAGUAGCGGGGAGGAACAUGCCAAAGCGAAGAAUACCGGCUACGCCCUUCGGGGGAAAGCGGGGACCUUCGGGCCCGCACUAUUAGAGCGGCCGAUAUCGGAUUAGCGGAAGGUGGGGUAACGGCUCGUACUCAAGGCGACGACGAUCCGUAGCUGGUUUGAGAGGACGACCAGCCACACUGGGACUGAGACAGGCCUGUGACUCUACGGGAGGCAGCAGUGGGGAAUUUUGGACAAUGGGGAAACCCUGAUCCAGCCAUCCCGCGUGCGAUGAAGGCCCCGGGUUGUAAAGCACUUUUGGCAGGAAGAAACGGCACGGGACAAUACCCCGUGCAACUGACGGUACCUGCAGAAUAAGAACACAACUACGUGCCAGCAGCCGCGGUAAUACGUAGGGUGCAAGCGGGCAAUCGGAAUACAUUGGGCGCAAGCGUGCGCAGGCGGUUCGGAAAGCAAAGAUGUGAAAUCCCAGAGCUUAACUUGGAACUGCAUUUUUAACUACCGAGCUAGAGGUCAGAGGGAGGUGGAAUUCCGCGUGUAGCAGUGAAAUGCGUAGGGAUAUGCGGAGGAACACCGAUGGCGAAGGCAGCCUCCUGGGGAUAACACUGACGCUCAUGCACGAAAGCGUGGGGAGCAAACAGGAUUAGAUACCCCUGGUAGUCCACGCCCUAAACGAUGUCAACUAGCUGUUGGGGCCUUCGCCUUGGUAGCGCAGCUAACGCGUGCAGUUGACCGCCUGGGAGUACGGUCGCAAAGAUUAAACUCAAAGGAAUUGACGGGACCCGCACAAGCGGUGGAUGAUGUGGAUUAAUUCGAUGCAACGCGAAAAACCUUACCUACCCUUGACAUGUCUGGAAUCCCGAAGAGAUUUGGGAGUGCUCGCAAGAGAACCGAACACAGGUGCUGCAUGGCUGUCGUCAUCAGCGUCGUGAGAUGUUGGUUAAGUCCCGCAACGAGCGCAACCCUUGUCAUUAGUUGCUACGAAAGGGCACUCUAAUGAGACUGCCGGUGACAAACCGGAGGAAGGGGAUGACGUCAAGUCCUCAUGGCCCUUAUGGGUAGGGCUUCACACGUCAUACAAUGGUCGGGACAGAGGGUCGCCAACCCGCGAGGGGGAGCCAAUCCCAGAAACCGAUCAGCCUGGAUCGCAGUCUGCAACUCGAUCGUGAAGUCGGAAUCGUCAGCAACGCGGAUCAGCAUGUCGCGGUGAAUACGUUCCGGUCUGUACACACCGCCCGUCACGGGACCAUGAGGCCUUUACCAGAAGCAGUUAGCCUAACCGUAAGGAGGGCGAUUACCACGGUAGGAUUCAUGAUCAGCGUCAAUACUGCAG
rnacentral:rRNA from 1 species